AAGGAUUUAACAUCAAUUUUGACUUUGUAAAAAGCUAAAAAUAGAAGAUAUUAUUUUAUUUUGUUUUAUUAUUUUUAUUUUUAUUUAUUUUUAUUUUAUUUUAUUAUUUUAGGAUUAAGCUAUUUUUAGUAAACCCUAUCUAUAUAAAUAGGGGCUUUUAGUUCUUAGAAAAGCAUCCCUUGUCUUUGUAUUCCUACUUCUAUUUAGAAUAGAAAUACUCUCCUUU
rnacentral:lncRNA from 1 species